rnacentral:lncRNA from 1 species
CAGCGGAAGUUUUCGAUUCGUACCUUUUUCGAAAGCGAUUCGCGCAACAACGCGAUGAGCCCGGAUCGUUUAGAUUGAUUCACGUGUCCUCGGAUCGUCCUUGAAUGUCUUCUCACGCUCCACGAACUCGCGGUGGAUCGAACUACAAACGAGCGCGAUCGCAAAUCCACCGUGCAAGUCCCUCUAGAAUAAUAGGUCAAUGGAGGAUGUGGUUUCUCUCUAUUAUUUUCUUAUUCUCUCUCUUUUUUCGUUCCUUUUUUGUACAUCGUUUCAUGUGGGAUCGCCCGUCUAUUUAUAAGGAAUUCCAAAAUCCUAAUAGCGUUAGAGAUAAGGCCAAAUCGAUUAUUAUUUGUUAUCCUAAUAUGAUUAGAUUUAUCUCUAAUUAGCUUUCCAAUUUGAAAGCGAGAUUAAUCCUAAUCCAAUUAGAUAUAAUAUCCGUCGGAUCGAACCCGCUUAUGAGCGUACCCGAUUCGAUUUAACCGAAUGCCAACAUCUCCCACUCGCACAUGACGGGAUCGAUGCCAUCGUAACCACUUCCUCAACAUCACACCACUAUUAAUUCUAUUCAUACAGGGAAAUGAACAGUGCGACCGCCGAGUCAACCUGCAUUUUGGGAGCUCUAUACUAGAAACCGCAUCCGGCCAGCAUAGAGACAUCAACCCUCAAAAAGAGAAAAAAAAAUAUUAGACUCGUGAUGCCCUAGACCAUUGAAUUACAUCAGGUUCAGCAUCUCUAAUCCCUCAAAGAGCCAUGCUAACCGCAAUUGCGCACAUUAUGACACUAUACUCAUAAUUAUUUCGCUAUACUGAAGCGAUACAACCUGUCGACAAUGAGUCAAAGUGUUUAGUGUAAUUCAACUAGUCUUCCUUGAGCCCUCAUGCCACUGAGUUGAGAACUGAUUGCUUUCCCAGCAAUGCCCCGUAAAGCCGCAUCACUCAUAGCCGUAGGUAACAUGCCAAAGUAGCAACAUCAAUUCUUUCACUUAAUGACAUAGUCAAAAGUUACUAAGGGCAUCUAUCAUAUAUAGGACAUCGUCUCAAAAAAAAAUGCCCGUAAGAACUCACACGAUGAGGAAGCAGGGAUCCAUUCACUCAUCUUCUUUAUUUAGUCGCCCAGCACAUGUAGUAUGAAAUACAUGCUAUAACAGAGAAUCCCAAUAAGCGUAUGUCUUUCUCAAUAUCAUACGGAUCUUAGCUCAGUCACUCCCGAAGUGUCUAGCCUGAGUUCUCCAUUUGCUCGCUAUCUCAAGCGUCAAACGGUGAGCUCACAUCCGGCUCUCAAUAUGCAGGCCAUACGAAUCGUGGGACUUUUCGUAUGCGGUCUCAUUAAUGACCUCAUCUUGGUGCCAACCAAGGCGGCUUCCAUUAAUGCCUCAAUUUUCGCUCGCUCUCUACAGCGCCGAAAGGUAUGAUUGCCCGUGUGAGAGGGCCAAUCGGCCUGCGACAUACUAUCAAUCAGUUUAAUAACAAUGCAUGUGUACUAAUUUUACCAAAUAUCUUUUCCAGAAUAAUAAUUUGUAAUUAAAUAACCAAAAAAUUAUAAAAAAUAAUCGACUGUCUACACAAUCAAAUCCUACGGAGUCCAAGAGCUUUAACAUGAGCCCAAAAAUAAUUCUCUAACAAUAGGCUUAGUUAGAGAAUCUACAACCACGCGACUCGUAGAUAUGUGUUCCAGGAUUAUUUUCUUCUGCGCCACUGCCUUCGAGUGGUCCAAUCCCAGAUUGGACGGAAAAUGGCUAACCAGGCCCACGGCAUAGCAUAUAUCAGGCCGAGUACACAUCAUAGCAUACAUCAGGCUCCCGACCGCAUUAGCAUAUGGAAUCCGAUUCAUCUUGUCCUUCUCUUCAGAAGUUUUAGGGCACUGAUGCAAGAUUCGCAAUAAGAUAUCCAUCACACAUCAAACAAGACACCUCACAAAAUCGAUUUAGGGUUUCGUUUUUCUUAUAAAACACAAAACCAUAUUAAAUCAAGCUUUGUAAAUUUAAUCUUUCAACAUAGGUGUUUUAAGAUGUGUAAAAAUCAUACAAAGAUGUCCACCUUUGAAAAAAGGCCAUUAACGCUCAUAUACAUGCAAAAUAAAAUCCAAAUUUUGAUAGAUUUAAUUUUUAACGCAUGUAAUCUCGUUAGAACAUGAUUUAGGGCACGAAAUCAACCAACAAGGCUCUGAUACCAAUGUAGAAAGCAGCGGAAGUUUUCGAUUCGUACCUUUUUCGGAAGCGAUUCGCGCAACAACGCGAUGAGCCCGGAUCGUUUAGAUUGAUUCACGUGUCCUCGGAUCGUCCUUGAAUGUCUUCUCACGCUCCACGAACUCGCGGUGGAUCGAACUACAAACGAGCGCGAUCGCAAAUCCACCGUGCAAGUCCCUCUAGAAUAAUAGGUCAAUGGAGGAUGUGGUUUCUCUCUAUUAUUUUCUUAUUCUCUCUCUUUUU